rnacentral:lncRNA from 1 species
CUAAACCCUAAAACUCAACUCUAAACCCUAAACCAUCAAUCCUAAACCUUAUUUUUUUUUAAAUACGAACCCUAAACCCUAAACCAUCAAUCUUAAAUCUUUUUUUUUUAAAUAAACCCUAAACCAUGAAACAUCAACUCUAAUCUCUAAAUCCCGAAACAUCAACACUAAACCCUAAACCCUAAACCUUCAACUCUAAACCCUGAAACAUCAACUCUAAACCCUAAACCCUAAACCUUCAACUCUAAACCCUAAACCCUAAACUUCAAUUCUAAACCCUAAACCAUCAACACUAAACCCUAAACUACCAACACUAAACCCUAAACCCUA